rnacentral:rRNA from 1 species
UACAGAGGUGGCAAGCGUUGUUCGGAAUUACUGGGCGUAAAGGGCGCGUAGGCGGUCCGAUAAGUCCUGUGUGAAAUCCCUCGGCUCAACUGAGGAACUGCCUUUGAAACUGUACGGCUUGAGUCCGGGAGGGGGUAGCGGAAUUCCCAGUGUAGCGGUGAAAUGCGUAGAUAUUGGGAGGAACACCAGUGGCGAAGGCGGCUACCUGGACCGGAACUGACGCUGAUGCGCGAAAGCGUGGGUAGCAAACAGG